ensembl:lncRNA
AGCACAGCAGAGAGGCGACUGCAUGGAUAGGGGACAGCACAGCAGAGUGGGGACAGCAGAGCAAUGGGACAGCAAAGCAGAGAGAGGGGACAGCACAGCACAGAGAGGGGACAGCACAGUAGAGUGGGGACAGUGCAGGGAUGGGACAGUGGGGAGAGGGGACAAUGCAGAGCUGGGACGACACAGAGAGGGGACAGCACAGCAAUGGGACAGCAGAGCACAGAGAGGGGACAGCACAGCACAGAGAGGGGACAGCAGAGCAGAGAGGGGACUGCAUGGAUAGGGGACAGCACAGCAGAGUGGGGACAGUACAGCAAUGGGACAGCACAGGGAUUGGAAAGCACAGCAGAGUGGGGACAGCACAGGACAGAGAGGGGACAGCACAGCAGAGUGGGGACAGUGCAGGGAUGGGACAGUGGGGAGAGGGGACAAUGCAGAGGUGGGACGACACAGAGAGGGGACAGCACAGCAAUGGGACAGCACAGCAGUGGGACAGCACAGCAGUGGGACAGCACAGGGAUUGGAAAGCACAGCAGAGUGGGGACAGCAAAGCAAAUAGAGGGGACAGCACUGCACAGAGAGAGGACAGCAGAGCAGAGAGGGGACAGCACAGCACAGCACAGAGAGGGGACAGCAGAGCAGAGAGGGGACAGCAGAGCAAUGGGACAGCACAGCAAUGGGACAGCAAAGCUGAGAGAGGGGACAGCAGAGCAGAGAGAGGGGGACAGCAGAGCAGAGAGAGGGGACAGCAGCAGCAAUGGGACAGGACAGGGACUGGAAAGCACAGCAGAGAGGAGACAGCAAAGCAGAGAGGGGACAGCACAGCAGAGAGAGGGGACAGAAGAGUGGGGACAGUGCAGGGAUGGGACAGUGGGGAGAGGGGACAAUGCAGAGGUGGGACGACACAGAGAGGGGACAGCAGCAGCAAUGGGACAGCACAGCACAGAGAGGGAGACAGCAGAGCACAGAGAGGGGACAGCACAGCACAGAGAGGGGACAGCACAGGGAUUGGAAAGCACAGCAGAGUGGGGACAGCAAAGCAGAGAGAGGGGACAGCACAGCACAGAGAGGGGCAGCACAGUAGAGUGGGGACAGUGCAGGGAUGGGACAGUGGGGAGAGGGGACAAUGCAGAGGUGGGACGACACAGAGAGGGGACAGCACAGCAAUGGGACAGCACAGCAGUGGGACAGCACAGCAGUGGGACAGCACAGGGAUUGGAAAGCACAGCAGAGUGGGGACAGCAAAGCAAAUAGAGGGGACAGCACUGCACAGAGAGAGGACAGCAGAGCAGAGAGGGGACAGCACAGCACAGCACAGAGAGGGGACAGCAGAGCAGAGAGGGGACAGCAGAGCAAUGGGACAGCACAGCAAUGGGACAGCAAAGCUGAGAGAGGGGACAGCAGAGCAGAGAGAGGGGGACAGCAGAGCAGAGAGAGGGGACAGCAGCAGCAAUGGGACAGGACAGGGACUGGAAAGCACAGCAGAGAGGAGACAGCAAAGCAGAGAGGGGACAGCACAGCAGAGAGAGGGGACAGAAGAGUGGGGACAGUGCAGGGAUGGGACAGUGGGGAGAGGGGACAAUGCAGAGGUGGGACGACACAGAGAGGGGACAGCACAGCAAUGGGACAGCACAGCAAUGGGACAGCACAGGGACUGGAAAGCACAGCAGAGCGGGGACAGCAAAGCAGAGAGAGGGGACAGCACAGCAAUGGGACAGCAAAGCAGAGAGAGGGGACAGUGCAGGGAUGGGACAGCACAGGGAUGGGACAGGGGGGAGAGGGGACAGCACAGGGAUGGGACAACAGAGAGGGGACAGCACAGAGAGGGGGGACAGCACAGCACAGAGAUGGGACUGCACAGAGAGGGGACAGCACAGCACAGAGGGCACAGCACAGAGCUGCCCCCACCCAAGCAGUGGAUGUGGCCCAUCUCCAUUUCAGUACAGCAUUUGGCACCGCCUCCCACUGCGUUCCCACAGCUGAACUGAGGGGGUGACGCGGAGGGGGGACGGGACGGGGAGGGGACAGUGCAGGGAGGGGGGGAGGGAGCAGAGAGGGGAGGACACGGAGGUGGGAUGGACAACGCGGGGAUGGGACGAUGCUGCAGGGAGGGGAUGGUGGAGAGAGGAGACAGCGCAGGGAACAGAGAGUGUGGCCGUGGAAUCAGAGUCCUACAAUGGGCUGGGUUGGAAAGGGCCACAGUGAUCAUGCAGUUCCAACUGGAAGGGUCCUUCCAGAUCACAGAGACAUCGAAUGGUUGGGUUGGAAGGGUCCUUACAGGUCACAGAGCAAUGGAAGGGUUGUGUUGGAAGGAUCGUUGAAGAUCACAGAGUCAUGGAACGGCUGGUUUGGGUUGGAAGGAUCCUUGAAGAUCAGACAACCACAGAAUGGUUGGGUUGAAAGGGUCCUUACAGGUCACAGAGCCAUGGAAUGGUUGGGUUGGGUUGGAUGGGUCAUUAUAGAUCACAGGGCCGUGGAAUUGUUGGGUUGGGUUGGAAGGUCCUUGAAGAUCAAAAAGCCAUGGAAUGGUUAGGUUGGGUUGGAAGGGUCCUUCCAGAUCACAGAGUCAUGGAAUGGUUGGGUUGGAAGGGUCCUUACAGGUCACAGAGCCACGGAAGGGUUGUGUUGGAAGGAUCGUUGAAGAUCACAGAGUCAUGGAAUGGUUGGGUUGGAUUUGAAGGGUCCUUGAAGAUCAGACAACCACAGAAUGGUUGGGUUGAAAGGGUCCUUACAGGUCACAGAGCCAUGGAAUGGUUGGGUUGGGUUGGAUGGGUCAUUAUAGAUCACAGGGCCGUGGAAUUGUUGGGUUGGGUUGGAAGGGUCCUUGAAGAUCAUAAAGCCAUGGAAUGGUUAGGUUGGGUUGGAAGGGUCCUUCCAGAUCACAGAGUCAUGGAAUGGCUGGUUUGGGUUGGAAGGGUCCUUGAAGAUCAUAAAGCCAUGGAAUGGUUGGGUUCGGUUGGAAGGGUCCUUCCAGAUCACAGGGCCAUGGAAUUGUUGGGUUGGAAGGGUCCUUACAGGUCACAGAGCCACGGAAGGGUUGUGUUGGAAGGAUCGUUGAAGAUCACAGAGUCAUGGAAUGGUUGGGUUGGAUUUGAAGGGUCCUUGAAGAUCAGACAACCACAGAAUGGUUGGGUUGAAAGGGUCCUUACAGGUCACAGAGCCAUGGAAUGGUUGGGUUGGGUUGGAUGGGUCCUUACAGAUCACAGGGCC